rnacentral:rRNA from 1 species
CGGGUGAAUUGCAGAAUCCCGUGAACCAUCGAGUCUUUGAACGCAAGUUGCGCCCGAAGCCACUAGGCCGAGGGCACGUCUGCCUGGGCGUCA